rnacentral:rRNA from 1 species
GUGAACGCUGGCGGCGUGCCUAACACAUGCAAGUCGAACGAUGAUAGAGAGCUUGCCCUCUUGAUUAGUGGCGCACGGGUGAGUAUACCAUAGAUAAUGUACCUCUUAGUUCGGGAUAGCCACUGGAAACGGUGAUUAAUACCGGAUACUCCUUCUUACUCUAAGGUAAGUCGGGAAAGUUUUUUCGCUAAGAGAUCAGUCUAUGUCCUAUCAGCUAGUUGGUGAGGUAAUGGCUCACCAAGGCUAUGACGGGUAGCGGUUCUGAGAGGAUGAUCCGCCACACUGGUACUGAGACACGGACCAGACUCCUACGGGAGGCAGCAGUGAGGAAUAUUGCACAAUGGGGGGAACCCUGAUGCAGCAACGCCGCGUGGAGGAUGACGCAUUUCGGUGUGUAAACUCCUUUUAUAUGUCAAGAAAAUGACGGUAGCAUAUGAAUAAGCACCGGCUAACUCCGU